UAACAGGAAGCAGCUUGCUGCUUCGCUGACGAGUGGCGGACGGGUGAGUAAUGUCUGGGAAACUGCCUGAUGGAGGGGGAUAACUACUGGAAACGGUAGCUAAUACCGCAUAAUGUCGCAAGACCAAAGAGGGGGACCUUCGGGCCUCUUGCCAUCGGAUGUGCCCAGAUGGGAUUAGCUUGUUGGUGGGGUAACGGCUCACCAAGGCGACGAUCCCUAGCUGGUCUGAGAGGAUGACCAGCCACACUGGAACUGAGACACGGUCCAGACUCCUACGGGAGGCAGCAGUGGGGAAUAUUGCACAAUGGGCGCAAGCCUGAUGCAGCCAUGCCGCGUGUAUGAAGAAGGCCUUCGGGUUGUAAAGUACUUUCAGCGGGGAGGAAGGGAGUAAAGUUAAUACCUUUGCUCAUUGACGUUACCCGCAGAAGAAGCACCGGCUAACUCCGUGCCAGCAGCCGCGGUAAUACGGAGGGUGCAAGCGUUAAUCGGAAUUACUGGGCGUAAAGCGCACGCAGGCGGUUUGUUAAGUCAGAUGUGAAAUCCCCGGGCUCAACCUGGGAACUGCAUCUGAUACUGGCAAGCUUGAGUCUCGUAGAGGGGGGUAGAAUUCCAGGUGUAGCGGUGAAAUGCGUAGAGAUCUGGAGG
rnacentral:rRNA from 1 species